UCUGAGCAGCUUCUCCCGCCUCCUCCUGAGCCAAAGAACCCUUCCCAACACUCCAUACUGGUAUUUUCCAGGUCAAGCUUAGCCACAGUGUUCUCUGGAUUGCAAAAGCAGCACGUGCCUUCAAGCACGGAGCAAACUUGGUGAUGCAGCUGCAGAGAGCCAGGAACCAGCUCCUGAAAUGGGAAGAAGAGUCAUUUACAUGGAAGGAAGGAAGGAUACAUUGAGAAAUAGCACAUACACCCUGAUUAAACAAGUGGGAAUUAGCCCUGGGGAAUGCCCAGGACAAAGAAGGGGCAGUUCCCUUUUGGUUUGGCUCAUGAUGUGAGGAAUUAAAAGGCUGGUAAAAGCUGCUGCAGAUUUAUGAAAAGGAAGAUCCCACCAGGCAAAGGGGCUGAGAUGCCAAGGUUGGAAAUGGAAUAUGUUUGAUGACACACACAGAGAACAUUUUGUCUCCUGGCACAUGAGGCAUAAAACACAACCCUGUUGUGCAGUGUAGGGGUU